rnacentral:tRNA from 2 species
GGGCAGUGCAUAAGUCCUGCUCAGAGGGCAUGGCCUUACACAGUCCUGCACCUGCUUGCAUAGGGCACCGCGGACUUUUAAUCCGGUUGGCAGGGUUCGAGUCCCUGGCGGCCCACCA